GACGAACGCUGGCGGCGUGCCUAAUACAUGCAAGUCGAGCGGACUUUUUAAAAGCUUGCUUUUAAAAAGUUAGCGGCGGACGGGUGAGUAACACGUGGGCAACCUGCCCUGUAGACUGGGAUAACUUCGGGAAACCGAAGCUAAUACCGGAUAAUCUUUUGUGCCACAUGGCAUGAAAGUAAAAGUUGGGUUUUACCUAACACUACAGGAUGGGCCCGCGGCGCAUUAGCUAGUUGGUAAGGUAAUGGCUUACCAAGGCGACGAUGCGUAGCCGACCUGAGAGGGUGAUCGGCCACACUGGGACUGAGACACGGCCCAGACUCCUACGGGAGGCAGCAGUAGGGAAUCUUCCGCAAUGGACGAGAGUCUGACGGAGCAACGCCGCGUGAACGAUGAAGGCCUUCGGGUCGUAAAGUUCUGUUGUUAGGGAAGAACAAGUACCGUUCGAAUAGGGCGGUACCUUGACGGUACCUAACCAGAAAGCCACGGCUAACUACGUG
rnacentral:rRNA from 1 species